rnacentral:rRNA from 1 species
UACGUAGGUGGCAAGCGUUUGUCCGGAAUUAUUGGGCGUAAAGCGCGCGCAGGCGGUCCUUUAAGUCUGACGUGAAAGCCCACGGCUCAACCGUGGAGGGUCAUUGGAAACUGGGGGACUUGAGUGCAGAAGAGGAAAGCGGAAUUCCACGUGUAGCGGUGAAAUGCGUAGAGAUGUGGAGGAACACCAGUGGCGAAGGCGGCUUUCUGGUCUGUAACUGACGCUGAGGUGCGAAAGCGUGGGGAGCAAACAGG